UAAUAAACUUAUUUGCUUCUAUAAACUUUAUACGGUUCAUUUCUAGAGCUGUCAUGGAAUUGAACUCUAUUACAGUAAUUUACAUUCUUUUAUUCGUAGUGUGCUGGUGUCCUCCAUGUGCGAGGGGAAGUUUUUUGUCCACGACGCCCUCAGCCGACUGGGAGUCUAUCGUGUUUUGGAUCUCCAAUGAAGUCUGGAAGUUCGGCCUUGCAUGUCGUCAGCACAGCCAGUAUUACUGUCUGGACGGUUACCACACCCUGAAGAGCACUACUGAGAGCAACUGUGUCGCGGACGCCCUCUUAGAACGAGACGAGGCUGCCUACCUAGCAUGGUUUAACAUCCUUGUACGGGACCAGUGGCACAGAAUCAACAUGAUCGACUUAAAAA